rnacentral:rRNA from 1 species
AGCUCCAAUAGCGUAUAUUAAAGUUGUUGCAGUUAAAAAGCUCGUAGUUGGAUUUGUGGUGUACUUCGGCGGCCCGUCACUAUGUGAUGGAGCUUGCUGAAGUCGCCAUCCUUGGGUGGAUCCUGUGUGGCAUUAAGUUGUCGUGCAGGGGAUGCCCAUCGUUUACUGUGAAAAAAUUAGAGUGUUCAAAGCAGGCUUAUGCCGUUGAAUAUGUUAGCAUGGAAUAAUAAGAUAGGACCUUGGUACUAUUUUGUUGGUUUGCGCACCAAGGUAAUGAUUAAUAGGGACAGUUGGGGGUAUUCGUAUUUCAUUGUCAGAGGUGAAAUUCUUGGAUUUUUGAAAGACGAACUACUGCGAAAGCAUUUACCAAGGAUGUUUUCAUUAAUCAAGAACGAAAGUA